UAGACAUAUUAUUGUAUUCAACUGUAUUCACGAUAUGUAUUUAUGAAUACAGUAACGUAAAUAGCGCAAUUCAUGAUCUAUUCAGUUGUUUUAAAUGAAAAGUGAAUCAAUUAACAUAAUAGACUCCA
rnacentral:pre_miRNA from 1 species